rnacentral:rRNA from 1 species
AUUGAACGCUGGCGGCAGGCCUAACACAUCGGUAACAUUUCUAGCUUGCUAGAAGAUGACGAGUGGCGGACGGGUGAGUAAUGCUUGGGAACUUGCCUUUGCGAGGGGGAUAACAGUUGGAAACGACUGCUAAUACCGCAUAAUGUCUUCGGACCAAACGGGGCUUCGGCUCCGGCGCAAAGAGAGGCCCAAGUGAGAUUAGCUAGUUGGUAAGGUAGGCGGCUUACCAAGGCGACGAUCCUAGCUGUUCUGAGAGGAAGAUCAGCCACACUGGGACUGAGACACGGCCAGCUGACUCCUACGGGAGGCAAGUGGGGAAUAUUGCACAAUGGGGGAAACCCUGAUGCAGCCAUGCCGGCUGUGUGUGAAGAAGGCCUUCGUUGUAAAGCACUUUCAGUUGUGAGGAAAAGUUAGUAGUUAAUACCUGUAGCCGUGACGUUAACAACAGAAGGAAGCACCGGCUAACUCCGUGCCAGCAGCCGCGGUAAUACGGAGGGUGCGAGCGUUAAUCGGAAUUACUGGGCGUAAAGCGCACGCAGGCGGUUUGUUAAGCUAGAUGUGAAAGCCCCGGGCUCAACCUGGGAUGGUCAUUUAGAACUGGCAGACUAGAGUCUUGGAGAGGGGAGUGGAAUUC